GCUGGCGACAAUAGCAAGAGUGAACCACCUGAUCCCUUCCCGAACUCAGAAGUGAAACCUCUUAGCGCUGAUGGUAGUGUGGGAUUACCCAUGUGAGAGUAAGUCAUCGCCAGCU
rnacentral:rRNA from 8 species